GCACCAGUGGCGGAAUUGGCAGACGCGUACGCUUCAGGCGCGUAUGGGCGACCGUGUGGGUUCGAGUCCCAUCUGGUGCACCA
rnacentral:tRNA from 1 species